UACGGAGGGUGCGAGCGUUGUCCGGAAUCACUGGGCGUAAAGCGCACGUAGGCGGGUCCUUAAGUCGGGGGUGAAAUCCUGGAGCUCAACUCCAGAACUGCCUUCGAUACUGAGGAUCUCGAGUCCGGGAGAGGGGAGUGGAACUCCGAGUGUAGAGGUGAAAUUCGUAGAUAUUCGGAAGAACACCAGUGGCGAAGGCGGCUCACUGGCCCGGUACUGACGCUGAGGUGCGAAAGCGUGGGGAGCAAACAGG
rnacentral:rRNA from 1 species